GACGAACGCUGGCGGCGUGCUUAACACAUGCAAGUCGAACGGAAAGGCCCUGCUUUUGUGGGGUGCUCGAGUGGCGAACGGGUGAGUAACACGUGAGUAACCUGCCCUUGACUUUGGGAUAACUUCAGGAAACUGGGGAUAAUACCGGAUAGGAGCUCCUGCUGCAUGGUGGGGGUUGGAAAGUUUCGGCGGUUGGGGAUGGAUUCGCGGCUUAUGAGCUUGUUGGUGGGGUAGUGGCUUACCAAGGCUUUGACGGGUAGCCGGCCUGAGAGGGUGACCGGCCACAUGGGGACUAAGGGACGGCGCAGACUCCAACGGGGGGCAGCAGUGGGGAGUAUUGCACAGUGGGCGGAAGCCUGAUGCAGCGACGCCGCGUGCGGGAUGACGGCCUUCGGGUUGUAAAACGCUUUCGCCUGUGACGAAGCGUGAGUGACGGUAAUGGGUAAAGAAGCACCGGCUAACUACGUG
rnacentral:rRNA from 1 species